rnacentral:lncRNA from 1 species
GCCACAACCAGCCCCUAACCUGCCACCAACCUCAUCCCUCUACCUGAAUACCACGGUAACGGUCUCGGCCCAAAGUUACAACAUUUCACCCGGGUCGACUCUCUGGCGACUGGUGGUUUCAACCACGGUGACGGUCUCGGCCCAAACACAACUCAUUUCACCAGAUCUGGAAUGAGGUGGCUUUCAGAUACGACAUUGACGGUGCCACAACGGUAUGGUGGUUCGAAUUGAAGGCAAGUUAGGUAACGGGGUGGUAGAGGUUGGAAGUGACGGCAGCGGUGGUUAAAUUUGUGAAAUCUGGACAAAAUUUAAAACCAUUCACCUUCCUCUGCUGCUUCUGGACUAAAUCAUUAAGGAGGAUAAAGAACAAAGAAUUUGCAGGUGAAGAUGAAAGU